UACAGAGGUCUCAAGCGUUGUUCGGAUUCAUUGGGCGUAAAGAGCACGCAGGCGGUUUGGCAAGUCGGAUGUGAAAGCCCGGAGCUCAACUCCGGACCUGCAUCCGAAACUGCCCGACUAGAGGUAGGUAGGGGAGAUCGGAAUUCCUGGUGUAGCGGUGAAAUGCGCAGAUAUCAGGAGGAACACCCGUGGCGAAAGCGGCUCUCUGGGACGGUACUGACGCUGAGACGCGAAAGCGUGGGGAGCAAACAGG
rnacentral:rRNA from 1 species